UGUAGAUCUUAUUUUGCUGAUAUGUUUUGCUUUUAAAGUCUCUCUCUCUCUCUCUCUCUGAUUAUAUGAGUGAAUUUUUCAAGUCCAGUGACCAUAACAUGCACAAAAUUAUCAGGCCGAAACAAAACUUUUAACUUGACGUGUAACUCAUGAUAAAACUAUAUACCAAUUAUCAAUCAAUAUCUUCAAGCAUGAGAAAAAAAAAUGUGGAAAAC
rnacentral:lncRNA from 1 species